rnacentral:rRNA from 1 species
AUUGAACGCUGGCGGCAUGCCUUACACACGCAAGUCGAACGGCAGCACGGGAGCAAUCCUGGUGGCGAGUGGCGAACGGGUGAGUAAAGUAUCGGAACGUGCCCAGUCGUGGGGGAUAACGUAGCGAAAGUUACGCUAAUACCGCAUACGAUCUACGGAUGAAAGCGGGGGAUCGCAAGACCUCGCGCGAUUGGAGCGGGCGAGAUCAGAUUAGGUAGUUGGUGGGGUAAAGGCUCACCAAGCCGACGAUCUGUAGCUGGUCUGAGAGGACGACCAGCCACACUGGGACUGAGACACGGCCCAGACUCCUACGGGAGGCAGCAGUGGGGAAUUUUGGACAAUGGGCGCAAGCCUGAUCCAGCCAUGCCGCGUGCAGGAUGAAGGCCUUCGGGUUGUAAACUGCUUUUGUACGGAACGAAAAGGUUUGGCCUAAUAAGCUGGACCCAUGACGGUACCGUAAGAAUAAGCACCGGUUAACUACGUGCCAGCCGCCGCCGUAA